rnacentral:rRNA from 1 species
GUGCCAGCCGCCGCGGUAAUACCAGCCCCGCGAGUGGUUGGGACGUUUACUAGGCCUAAAGCGCCUGUAGCCGGCCCUGUAAGUCCCUCCCUAAAGGCCCGGGCUCAACCCGGGAACCGGGAGGGAUACUGCAGGGCUAGGGGGCGGGAGAGGCGGGGGGUACUCCCGGAGUAGGGGCGAAAUCCGUAGAUCCCGGGAGGACCACCAGUGGCGAAGGCGCCCCGCUAGAACGCGCCCGACGGUGAGAGGCGAAAGCCGGGGCAGCAAAAGGGAUUAGAUACCCCUGUAGUCCCAGCUGUAAACGAUGCGGGCUAGCUGUUGGGCGGGCUUAGAGCCCGCCCAGUGGCGGAGGGAAGCCGUUAAGCCCGCCGCCUGGGGAGUACGGCCGCAAGGCUGAAACUUAAAGGAAUUGGCGGGGGGGCACCACAAGGGGUGAAGCUUGCGGCUUAAUUGGAGUCAACGCCGGAAACCUUACCCGGGGCGACAGCAGGAUGAUGGCCAGGCUAACGACCUUGCCGGACGAGCUGAGAGGAGGUGCAUGGCCGUCGUCAGCUCGUGCCGUGAGGUGUCCGGUUAAGUCCGGCAACGAGCGAGACCCCCACCCCUAGUUGCUACCCGAUCCUUCGGGAUCGGGGGCACACUAGGGGGACUGCCGGCGUAAGCCGGAGGAAGGAGGGGGCCACGGCAGGUCAGUAUGCCCCGAAACCCCCGGGCUGCACGCGAGCUGCAAUGGCGGGGACAGCGGGAUCCGACCCCGAAAGGGGGAGGUAAUCCCGUAAACCCCGCCCCAGUAGGGAUCGAGGGCUGUAACUCGCCCUCGUGAACGUGGAAUCCCUAGUAACCGCGUGUCACCAACGCGCGGUGAAUACGUCCCUGCCCCUUGCACACACCGCCCGUC